GACCGGCUCUGGAGGAGGCAGAAGAGAGAAUGCAGGCAUAAGUAACGAAAAGACGGGUGCGAUCCCCGUCCGCCGAAAACCUAAGGGUUCCGGGGUAAAGGCAAUCUGCCCCGGGUAAGUCGGCCCCUAAGGCGAGGACGAAAGUCGUAGUCGAUGGGAAAUCGGUUUAUAAUCCGAUACUUAUUAAGUUUUUAUGGAAUGACGCAUGAGGUGAAAUCCGGCCGGGCGACGGUUGUCCCGGUCAAAGCAACGAGGUGCUGAGGCUCUGGUUAAAAUAAGGGUUGAGCUGAGUUGUUACAGCGAGCGGAAAGAAAGUUGAAGCGAAGCGGACGUAAUCAGGGUGCCGGGAAAUAAUUCCUAAGUCAGGCUUAAUAAACCGUACCGUAAACGGACACACGUAGGUGGGAUGAGUAAUCUAAGGCGCACGAGCGAACUCGCGUUAAGGAACUCGGCAAAAUGCGCACGUAACUUCGGAAGAAGUGCGGCUCCUGUUUGAUAAGAUUAGGAGCGACACAAAGCAGGCCCAGGCGACUGUUUAUCAAAAACACAGCCAUCUGCGAACCAGUAAUGGGACGUAUAGGUGGUGACACCUGCCCGGUGCUGGAAGGUUAAGAGGAGCGGUCAAGGGUAACCUGAAGCUGUGAAUCGAAGCCCCAGUAAACGGCGGCCGUAACUAUAACGGUCCUAAGGUAGCGAAAUUCCUUGUCGGGUAAGUUCCGACCCGCACGAAUGGUGUAACGAUUCUGGGCACUGUCUCAACGCGAGACUCGGUGAAAUUUAUAUUCCGGUAAAGAAGCCGGAUACCCAUAAUUAGACGGAAAGACCCCGUGAACCUUCACCGUAACUUAAUAUUGGGAUCCUGUUCAUUAUGUGUAGGAUAGCUGGGAGGCAGUGAAGCGUGGCCGUCAGGUUGCGCAGAGCCAAUGGUGAAAUACCAGCCUUGAUGGACAGGAUUUCUAACCUUAGCCUUGAAGCAGGUUUGGGGACAAUGUUAGGCAGGCGGUUUGACUGGGGCGGUCGCCUCCCAAAGAGUAACGGAGGUGCGCGAAGGUCUCCUCGCGCUGGUUGGAAAUCAGCGUACGAGUGUAAAGGCACAAGGAGGCUUGACUGCGAGGGUGACAAUCCGAGCAGGUACGAAAGUAGGUCUUAGUGAUCUGAUGGUGCUGAGUGGAAAGGCCAUCACUUAACGGACAAAAGGUACUCCGGGGAUAACAGGCUGAUUUUCCCCAAGAGUUCACAUCGACGGGAAAGUUUGGCACCUCGAUGUCGGCUCAUCGCAUCCUGGGGCUGGAGCAGGUCCCAAGGGUUUGGCUGUUCGCCAAUUAAAGCGGUACGUGAGCUGGGUUCAGAACGUCGCGAGACAGUUCGGUCCCUAUCUGUUAUGGGCGCUGGAAGUUUGAGAGGAGCUGCUUUUAGUACGAGAGGACCGAAGUGGACGAACCUCUGGUUUACCAGUUAUCCUGCCAAGGGUAAGUGCUGGGUAUCUAAGUUCGGAAGGGAUAACCGCUGAAAGCAUCUAAGCGGGAAGCCCACCUCAAGAUAAGACUUCCCUAAGACUAUAAGUCUUCUGAAGACCCCAGAGAGACUAUCUGGUUGAUAGGAUGCAGGUGUAAGCACAGCGAUGUGUUCAGCCGAGCAUUACUAAUAGGUCGUGAGGCUUGACC
rnacentral:rRNA from 1 species